AUGAUCUUGACUCACUGCAGCUUCGACUUCCUGGGCUCAAGUGAUCCUCCCAUCUCAGCCUCCUGUGUCACUCUAACCACAGGCACGUGCCACCAUGCCUGGCUAUUUUUUUGUUGAGCUGGGCUCUCACUUUGUUGCCCAGGCUGGUCUUGAACUCCUCAGCUCAAGCAGUCCUUCCCACUCAGCCUCCCGUAGUGUUGGGAAUACAGGCGUGCACCACUGCACCUGCUCCAGCCACUUGUAUAAAACCACUGACCUGUGUGUGGAGGACAGGCCAGGUGUGUGCUCACUGCACUGCGAAGAUGGGUCAUCACGUGACUUUCCCCAGUUUUCCAUUUCUCUUUUUCUGCUUUCCUCAAAAACCAAUAUAAGACUGGGUGCGGUGGCUCACACCUGUAAUCCCAGCACUUUGGGACGCUGCAGCUGGCGGAUCACAAGGUCAGGAGUUUUGAGACCAGCCUGGCCAACAUGAUGAAACCUCGUCUCCACUAAAAAUACAAAAGUUAGCUGGGUGUGAUGGUGGGUGCCUGUAAUCCCAGCUACUCAGGAGGCUGAGGCAGGAGAAUUUUUUGAACCCUGGAGGUGGAGGUUGCGGUGAGCCGAGAUCGUGCCAUUGCACUCCAGCCUGGGCAACAGCAAGACUCUGUCUCAAAAACACUUAGAAAAUGCCCUGGAGGUGGCAGAGGGUUGUAGAUAUGUGAGGCCAACCCCCAGGGUGGCCUUGUUCACCUCCCCAUUGAGAAUGGCUGCCAGGCUUCCCACUAGCCUCUGAAGAUGAUGGUCUGGUGUAAGGAGAGGUGCAGGUGCCUGGUUCUGAGCACCCUGGAAUUUCUGGCCACACAUCCUCUGGUGCCCUCCCUUCCACCCUGACAAGGAGCUUCCAGCCUGUUUUGAUUUUCUGUUUGUGGACCAGAAACACAUUUUUCCAAAUGAUGAGCAAAUAGGGUGAUUUCCUUUGUAAUGCUGCUCUGGGGCCUCUUCCUCAUCCUGGCAGAAGCAGCCUGGAUCCCAUGCGGCAGCCGACACUGUGCCCUUGCUCAGGCGUGCUGUCCCCUCCCUCUCCCUCAGUCUCCUCUCCAUGCCCAAGUCGGUUUCCAGCCGCUGGUCUUCACGGCAUUCCCAGUACAGCCAGGCACCAAGAGGCAAUACCGAAGGCCUGGCUUGGCCAUGUUAACGAUUGUACAGACAUAUAUUUUUAAAUAACUUUUAUGUAAUACUUUUCUAGCAUAGUAAGUUCUUGUUAACUGUCACAGAUGUCCUUCCAGAAACACCAGGUGUUACUUCCACUGAGUGUGGUCGUGGUCUGUGCCUUUGUAAACAGAACACUUGAACCACCUCCCGAAUUGGGUCAUCUGCUUCUUGAAUUGACACUUAAGAGAUGUGCAUCUCUCUAACUUUCAAGGAAACUGCCCCACUAAAUGGCAUGAAAAGGUUUAAAUAAAAUCCGAGAGUCCCAAUUCCCUCUA